UACGGAGGGUGCAAGCGUUAUCCGGAUUCACUGGGUUUAAAGGGUGCGUAGGUGGGUUGGUAAGUCAGUGGUGAAAUCCCCGAGCUUAACUUGGGAACUGCCAUUGAUACUAUAAGUCUUGAAUACCGUGGAGGUCAGCGGAAUAUGUCAUGUAGCGGUGAAAUGCUUAGAUAUGACAUAGAACACCAAUUGCGAAGGCAGCUCGCUACACGAAUAUUGACUCUGAGGCACGAAAGCGUGGGGAUCAAACAGG
rnacentral:rRNA from 1 species